UGUUGAAGUUAUUUAGUUCAUUUGCUAAAAUUUCAUACCAAAACAUGCUGAAAUAUUGUCCUACAUUUAACAGUUUUAUCAUGAGCUUUUUCCGAAACUUAGAUGAAGAUUUUUAGUUCUAUUUCUAAAACUUCAAGACAAACAUGCUGAAGUUUUAAUCCUGCAGUUUGUAAUUAAAUUAUGAAUUUUAGCAUGCUAAAAUUUUAUACCAAAAAAUGCUGAAGUUUUGUACCAUGUUGAUGUUUUAUAGUUCCAGUUCAGACUAAACUUGCUUGUAAUUUUGUAAUAAGUUUUUGAUAGCUUUGUUGGUCACUGUUUCAUUUAGAUACUUCAUUUCAUUGUUCUCAUCUCGAUUUUGGUUCUGAAAUUUCUGAUUCCUUCGUUUCUGAGAUUGAACUACUAAUUUGAGCUGAAAUUCGAAGUUAGGGUUAACAAUUUGAAGAAAAGGGAGUCCGAAAAUUCCCAUCGAAGCUUCGACGUGUUUUAAUUCUGAAAUUAGGGUUCAAAAUUCGAAUUGGGUGUUCGAGAUUCUAGUUGGAAACUUGAUUGUGUACUCAAAUCUGAAGCUUGAGUUAAUUUGGAGCUGAAUUUAACAAGGUUUGGGUCAAAUUUUUGAACGAGUUUUGCUCAGAAAAUUUCGAACGGGUUCUCAACGAAGAAGACCAAUUGGGUUUCUUCGAUUCUGUGAGCGAUUGUUCAAACAGGUUUCUGAGUUUCGUCUUGUAAUUGUAAGAGACUUGUUCUGAAACGUUAGUCCGAUUUAUGAGGAUUCUUACUCGAGACGGGAAGCUGAAGAGCUUGAAGACUGUGUUCUCUAGAUCCGAAAUUUUGAGUGCAAAACCGAUUGGAUGUUCUAAUCCUGCUGGUACCGCUUGGCUGGGGAAGAUUAGGGCUCGUUUGAAGCUGGUUUGCUAGGGUUUCGGUUCGAGAUUUCGAAAAUCAUUUCGGUGAAGAAGGCGAUACUGGGUCUUCUGGUUUUAGGAAUUAUUUUCAAACAAAUCGGAUAUUGGAGUUUGAUUCUUAUGCUGUUUUGAAGUAGGGUCCCAAAUUUUGAGUUCAUUUGGUUGAGGAUUGCUCGAAGAUUCGAAUUCUCUACCAUUGAAGCUCGAAGAACUCCGACGAACAGUUGCGAUUUCUGGAAUUGAGUUCUUGAAGCUAUUGCGUAGCCUAUGAAACGUCUCUACGCAUCGAUGCAUAGCUGAUUCCAGUAAAUUCAUCAUUGAAGAUUGCACAGCGGUUAGCUGCUGGAAUUGAGCAGUAUUUGACAACACUAUUCCUGCUGCUGAUAUCUGCACGUUUUGAGCUGUAAUUCUCCACAGUUGCACAACUUCUUGCUGCAGUGUUUGUUUAUGUUUGGAGAGUAAUUUGACAGUAAAUUCUGCCCUGUAAACAUUGUUUGGACUGGUUAAUCUGCAGAAAAUUCUGCACUGUCUGCAGCUAGAAGUUCCAGUUUUGCACCCAAUUUGUGCAAGUUAAGGACAACACAGUUUUGCACAAUUACAUCUGCACAGCUGAUUGUCUGCACUUGUGGUUUCUGGUUCAUAGCUGCUUAGUUUUGUGAAAGCCUAGUAGUUUGUUUCUUGAUUCAAAGAGAGCUGAAGUAGCAACACAGUUUUGGAAGGCUUCUCCUAGUUGUAACAUGGAAACACCUGCAGCUGAAAAGAAAGGAUUCUGCACUAUUUGAAGAAAAUGUUUUGCACCAGUUUCUCCUACAAACUGCUGCAACAAAAUGAGAAUUGGGCUGCCCAGCAGUGCAUUGUUUGAGCAAUAUCUUUGAGCUGCAGUUCUGCACAGUUGGAGCUCACAAUCUGCACAGGUCCAGCUGCAGUUUCUGCAUUUUUUUUACAUUGUUUGCGCUGAUUUGGGGAGUCCGCUUAGCCUAGUUGGGAAGUUUGUGAAGCUGAGUUUUGAAGGUUGAAAUAACUGCAGAUUCAUGAGUAACACUUCGGCUGGAUUUCAAAGUUGAAGCUCGGACUUGACAACUCACUUGGAAAACUACAGUAGACUGAAGCGACUGCUUGAAAAUUGAAAAGGACUUCUAGAACUGAAAGUUUUAUUGUGUGAGCUGCACUGAUUUGGGCUGGGAAAUCUGCACUGGUCUGCAGCAACUUGAUUGCAAAUCUGGCCAGUUUUGCAACAAUAACCUCUUUUUACAAAUAUGACCACAAAAUUUGAAAAGUGUUUAGUUUUAUAGUUUCCUGUCCUUUCUUUCUUUCCAAUUUGUGGUAAACUAAACUCUCAACUAGAUUAACUUGAUAUUAGUUCAUAUUGAGUUUAUUUCUAGUUU